CGGGAUCACGGCCAGCUGAUGUUCAUGGGAAACGUGUCUGUGGAGGAAGGCUUGCAUGACCUCACGUCUCCGGACCUGACAAUCGCCUCUGAGUGGACGUACUGCGAGACGGAUAUUGACCCCGCCCA